CAGGCGUUGUGGGACGUGGAGACGAGUUCCGGGAGAAGCCGACACUCGGCCAUUUUCCUCGUGACUACAGAAGGGAACGGUCGUUGCUCUUGUGAAACAAGAAGUAACGAUCUGCCAUCAUGGUAAACGGAAGGAUCCCCACGGUCUUCUCGAAGACCUAUGUCACCCCACGCAGACCCUACGAGAAGGCUCGUCUCGACCAGGAGUUGAAGAUAAUCGGCGAGUACGGUCUUCGUAACAAGCGUGAGGUAUGGAGAGUGAAGUACACACUCGCCAAGAUUCGUAAGGCCGCUCGAGAGCUCCUUACGUUGGAGGAGAAAGACCCAAAACGUCUUUUCGAAGGUAAUGCACUCCUGCGUCGUCUGGUGAGGAUCGGAGUGUUAGACGAGGGUCGCAUGAAGCUCGAUUACGUCCUGGGUCUCAAGAUCGAAGAUUUCUUGGAGCGCAGGCUCCAGACACAGGUGUUCAAGCUUGGAUUAGCCAAGUCCAUUCACCACGCACGUGUCCUCAUUCGUCAGAGACACAUUCGAUCCCAGAGUAACGUAUCAGGCUGAAACGAACGGCAGGAAAUGCCAAUUGAGUUUCAAAAAGGCCACUGAAGUAUCUGGUCCCCCAUAACCAGUGCUUUACGCCUUGGAUUUAAUCCAUUUCACGACGCUGAUAACCUGAUGUUAUCAAUCAGACCACUUGGGUGUCCUUGAAGGCACUCAACGUCUGAAUCUGCAAGUGAAUUUGCAGAAUAAAUACGAAAUAUUCGUGUUCGCAAACAGGUGGUUAACAUCCCAUCAUUCAUCGUACGUCUCGACUCCCAGAAGCACAUCGACUUCUCCCUGAAGUCACCGUUCGG